rnacentral:rRNA from 1 species
AACAAACGCUGGCGGCGUGCCUAACACAUGCAAGUCGUACGAGAAAGGGUCCUUCGGGACCUGAGUAAAGUGGCGAACGGGUGAGUAGCGCGUGGGUAACCUGCCCUUGAAUCUGGAAUAACCCGCCGAAAGGCGGACUAAUACCGGAUAUUGUCCCGGAGUCGCAUGGCACUGGGAUGAAAGAUGACCUCUUCACGAAAGUUGUCGUUCAGGGAGGGGCUCGCGUACCAUUAGCUAGUUGGUAGGGUAAUGGCCUACCAAGGCGACGAUGGUUAGCUGGUCUGAGAGGAUGAUCAGCCACACUGGAACUGAAACACGGUCCAGACUCCUACGGGAGGCAG